rnacentral:rRNA from 1 species
UACGAAGGGGGCUAGCGUUGCUCGGCAUUACUGGGCGUAAAGGGAGCGUAGGCGGAUCGUUAAGUUAGAGGUGAAAGCCCAGGGCUCAACCCUGGAAUUGCCUUUGAUACUGGCGAUCUUGAGUAUGGGAGAGGUAAGCGGAACUCCGAGUGUAGAGGUGAAAUUCGUAGAUAUUCGGAAGAACACCAGUGGCGAAGGCGGCUUACUGGCCCAUUACUGACGCUGAGGCUCGAAAGCGUGGGGAGCAAACAGG